CUGUAAGCCUGUGAAGGUGUACUGUGAGGUAUGCUGGAGGUAUCAGAAGUGCGAAUGCUGACAUAAGUAACGAUAAAGCGGGUGAAAAGCCCGCUCGCCGGAAGACCAAGGGUUCCUGUCCAACGUUAAUCGGGGCAGGGUGAGUCGACCCCUAAGGCGAGGCCGAAAGGCGUAGUCGAUGGGAAACAGGUUAAUAUUCCUGUACUUGGUGUUACUGCGAAGGGGGGACGGAGAAGGCUAUGUUGGCCGGGCGACGGUUGUCCCGGUUUAAGCGUGUAGGCUGGUUUUCCAGGCAAAUCCGGAAAAUCAAGGCUGAGGCGUGAUGACGAGGCACUACGGUGCUGAAGCAACAAAUGCCCUGCUUCCAGGAAAAGCCUCUAAGCAUCAGGUAACAUCAAAUCGUACCCCAAACCGACACAGGUGGUCAGGUAGAGAAUACCAAGGCGCUUGAGAGAACUCGGGUGAAGGAACUAGGCAAAAUGGUGCCGUAACUUCGGGAGAAGGCACGCUGAUAUGUAGGUGAAGUCCCUCGCGGAUGGAGCUGAAAUCAGUCGAAGAUACCAGCUGGCUGCAACUGUUUAUUAAAAACACAGCACUGUGCAAACACGAAAGUGGACGUAUACGGUGUGACGCCUGCCCGGUGCCGGAAGGUUAAUUGAUGGGGUCAGCGCAAGCGAAGCUCUUGAUCGAAGCCCCGGUAAACGGCGGCCGUAACUAUAACGGUCCUAAGGUAGCGAAAUUCCUUGUCGGGUAAGUUCCGACCUGCACGAAUGGCGUAAUGAUGGCCAGGCUGUCUCCACCCGAGACUCAGUGAAAUUGAACUCGCUGUGAAGAUGCAGUGUACCCGCGGCAAGACGGAAAGACCCCGUGAACCUUUACUAUAGCUUGACACUGAACAUUGAGCCUUGAUGUGUAGGAUAGGUGGGAGGCUUUGAAGUGUGGACGCCAGUCUGCAUGGAGCCGACCUUGAAAUACCACCCUUUAAUGUUUGAUGUUCUAACGUUGACCCGUGAUCCGGGUUGCGGACAGUGUCUGGUGGGUAGUUUGACUGGGGCGGUCUCCUCCUAAAGAGUAACGGAGGAGCACGAAGGUUGGCUAAUCCUGGUCGGACAUCAGGAGGUUAGUGCAAUGGCAUAAGCCAGCUUGACUGCGAGCGUGACGGCGCGAGCAGGUGCGAAAGCAGGUCAUAGUGAUCCGGUGGUUCUGAAUGGAAGGGCCAUCGCUCAACGGAUAAAAGGUACUCCGGGGAUAACAGGCUGAUACCGCCCAAGAGUUCAUAUCGACGGCGGUGUUUGGCACCUCGAUGUCGGCUCAUCACAUCCUGGGGCUGAAGUAGGUCCCAAGGGUAUGGCUGUUCGCCAUUUAAAGUGGUACGCGAGCUGGGUUUAGAACGUCGUGAGACAGUUCGGUCCCUAUCUGCCGUGGGCGCUGGAGAACUGAGGGGGGCUGCUCCUAGUACGAGAGGACCGGAGUGGACGCAUCACUGGUGUUCGGGUUGUCAUGCCAAUGGCACUGCCCGGUAGCUAAAUGCGGAAGAGAUAAGUGCUGAAAGCAUCUAAGCACGAAACUUGCCCCGAGAUGAGUUCUCCCUGACUCCUUGAGAGUCCUGAAGGAACGUUGAAGACGACGACGUUGAUAGGCCGGGUGUGUAAGCGCAGCGAUGCGUUGAGCUAACCGGUACUAAUGAACCGUGAG
rnacentral:rRNA from 1 species